CCUGGCUCUACCUCUCCUAGAGCCAUUUCAGAACUGACUACCACUGUGGAAGGAUCUCUUCUGGAGGUCUACUCUGCUGGAUUUUCAUGAGGAUAUUGGUGCAGGCUGGAUUUUCUUGCCUUACUUGUGAGCAGGCAAACAUCUUCCAGAAGAAAAAUCUAAGAGGUCCAUGUCCACUUACAGAUACAUCAUGCUCCUUGUGACUUUUCAGUCCCUCACACUAGCCGGACAGUAUGAGGUUGAAACAUCCUUGACUCUGUGCAGCUACAGAUGCAGAAACAACCAUGAUCUACAUUCCUCCUUGGAGUAAUCUUCUCUUGUAACAGGACUCAGAGUUCUGGUGGGGAAAUGGAGAUCUAAGCUGCAAAAUAAGUUAAACUUUAAUGUACUUUAUGGUGAUAAAGAAGAAAGAUAUUUAUGCUCCUCUCUGCUUCAGUAUCGUUGAGUACAUAAGUGUGCUGCUUAGAGCAUUCUUGACGGAUUGUGCUGUAUAGAUAUGAAUCUGGCUGAUGAAAAUCCAUGAGGUGCCUUUUGCCUCCAAUGUUUGAACCUAAUUUUCUGUCAUUCUCCAAGCAGUAGCCUUUUAGCUGAGACAUAAUAAUCUUGUCCAUUGUAGUCCUCUGCUGGACCACAUUCAGGUAUUUUGCAAGCCAAAGCUUCUCUACCAAAAGUGCAGUCAUACUAACACUGGAGCCACCACAGUCUACUAGAAACAUUCUCUGAGAACUGGGGAUUUCUGGAGUGUCUUAGAAUCCUCUGGUGAAGGCAACAAUGCAAGUGUGUCAGUAUUAUUCUCUGCUGAUAGUUGUGUGAGGGGUGCUGCCUCUCCGUAUUAGCUGGAUGUCUAUAAACACGUCAAAGUGAAGGAAAAUAUCACUGCAGUAGUGGAAGGCCAUGGGGAGGACAAAGUACAAGGGCAUCAAGGUAUGAGUGAUAUGUCUUUGUUUCUUACUGAGGGCACAGGUUGUGUAAUAUCGUUCUGUGUUCAUUCUCAAACUGCAAAUGAAGUCCUUUUAUUUUCUGUAAGACUAUAAAGCAAAGCUGGGGAUGGACUUUUAUUAUGCUGAUGUGUAGCACUUAGAACUCUUAAUAACCCAAUCCUAAGUGAAGUGUCCAAGUACUAUGAAUAAUAAUCAAACCAUAGCAGCAGGAAGGACCUAAUGAACAGAGUUAAUAUAUUCCUUGUUCCAAUUUUGUAAGAUUAGUAAACUUGCUACGGUCCUAGUGAUGAAUACCUGGCACUGACAUCCUCGCUAUUGGAGGAUCUUUUGAUUGCAUCUUCUCAAUGUUCAUUUCCCUUUUUCCCAAAGGACUUGCUGGAUGUUAAUAGCUAUAUGCCCAAGAUCACAUUCUUGUGUGUCAUUCCUGACUGAUCUGUUGUAAAAUUAGCCUGGAAGCUUCUCUAGUAUUUUCAUUUCCUGGUCAUCAGUAUCUACACUUGAAACAGUACAAACAAAUAAACGUUUCUUUCACAGUAAAUCAAGAAAACAUUAGCUUGUGUUAGAGGUUCUUAUUUGGACUAUUAUUCCUGUAGACAGAGAUGAAUUGACAUGAUUCAUUUUGAUGCAAAACAGUUGUUUAGAUAUAUUUUAUAAACACAGCAGAAAUGUGUUUUAAAAGCAACAAAACUCUGUUUUCAGAGCUCACAUGUAAAGCGUUGUUUUCCAUUAUUUUGUUGGAGAACAGGAGCAAGUGCAUUGAAGAUAUUUAUCUAAUUCAGAAAUGUAAUAAAAGACCAGAAAAUAAGAUACACUGCCAGAAACACACUUUUCUCUUGUCAGUUCUUUGUCUGUGACCUGUGUCAAAUCUCUUUAUUUUUUCCAAAUCAUUCCUAUUUGUAAACAUAAAAUAAAUAUUUUCUUUUUC